rnacentral:rRNA from 1 species
UGAGGAAUAUUGGUCAAUGGGCGAGAGCCUGAACCAGCCAAGUAGCGUGCAGGAUGACGGCCCUAUGGGUUGUAAACUGCUUUUAUAUGGGAAUAAAGUGAGGGACGUGUCCCUUAUUGCAUGUACCAUAUGAAUAAGGACCGGCUAAUUCCGUGCCAGCAGCCGCGGUAAUACGGAAGGUCCAGGCGUUAUCCGGAUUUAUUGGGUUUAAAGGGAGCGUAGGCUGUUUGUUAAGUGUGUUGUGAAAUGUAAGAGCUCAACUUUUAGAUUGCAGCGCGAACUGGCAGACUUGAGUGCGCACAACGUAGGCGGAAUUCAUGGUGUAGCGGUGAGAUGCUUAGAUAUCAUGACGAACUCCGAAUGCGAAGGCAGCUUACGGGAGCGCAACUGACGCUAAAGCUCGAAGGUGCGGGUAUCGAACAGG